ACGUGGGUGAUCUGCCCUGCACUCUGGGAUAAGCCUGGGAAACUGGGUCUAAUACCGGAUAGGACCACACACUUCAUGGUGAGUGGUGCAAAGCUUUUGCGGUGUGGGAUGAGCCCGCGGCCUAUCAGCUUGUUGGUGGGGUAAUGGCCCACCAAGGCGACGACGGGUAGCCGGCCUGAGAGGGUGACCGGCCACACUGGGACUGAGAUACGGCCCAGACUCCUACGGGAGGCAGCAGUGGGGAAUAUUGCACAAUGGGCGCAAGCCUGAUGCAGCGACGCCGCGUGGGGGGAUGACGGCCUUCGGGUUGUAAACCUCUUUCAGUAUCGGCGAAGCUCCAGGAUUUUUCUUGGGGUGACGGUAGGUACAGAAGAAGCACCGGCCAACUACGUGCCAGCAGCCGCGGUAAUACGUAGGGUGCGAGCGUUGUCCGGAAUUACUGGGCGUAAAGAGCUCGUAGGUGGUUUGUCACGUUGUCCGUGAAAACUCACAGCUUAACUGUGGGCGUGCGGGCGAUACGGGCAGACUGGAGUACUGUAGGGGAGACUGGAAUUCCUGGUGUAGCGGUGGAAUGCGCAGAUAUCAGGAGGAACACCGGUGGCGAAGGCGGGUCUCUGGGCAGUAACUGACGCUGAGGAGCGAAAGCGUGGGGAGCGAACAGGAUUAGAUACCCUGGUAGUCCACGCCGUAAACGGUGGGUACUAGGUGUGGGUUUCC
rnacentral:rRNA from 1 species